rnacentral:sRNA from 1 species
AAAAAUACAAAAAAAAAUGACAA